UGCAGUCGAACGCAUUGUUCUUCACCGAGUGCUUGCACUCACCGAAGACAAUGAGUGGCGAACGGGUGAGUAACACGUGGGUAACCUGCCCAAAAGAGGGGGAUAACACUUGGAAACAGGUGCUAAUACCGCAUAAUUUGUUAAACCGCAUGGUUUGAUAAUGAAAGACGGCGUAAGCUGUCACUUUUGGAUGGACCCGCGGCGUAUUAGCUAGUUGGUGAGGUAAAGGCCCACCAAGGCAAUGAUACGUAGCCGACCUGAGAGGGUGAUCGGCCACAUUGGGACUGAGACACGGCCCAAACUCCUACGGGAGGCAGCAGUAGGGAAUCUUCCACAAUGGACGAAAGUCUGAUGGAGCAACGCCGCGUGAGUGAAGAAGGUUUUCGGAUCGUAAAGCUCUGUUGUUAGAGAAGAAUGUAGGUAAGAGUAACUGUUUACCUAGUGACGGUAUCUAACCAGAAAGCCACGGCUAGCUACGUGCCAGCAGCCGCGGUAAUACGUAGGUGGCAAGCGUUAUCCGGAUUUAUUGGGCGUAAAGCGAACGCAGGCGGUUUUUUAAGUCUGAUGUGAAAGCCUUCGGCUCAACCGAAGAAAUGCAUUGGAAACUGGAUAACUUGAGUGCAGAAGAGGAGAGUGGAACACCAUGUGUAGCGGUGAAAUGCGUAGAUAUAUGGUAGAACACCAGUGGCGAAAGCGGCUCUCUGGUCUGUAACUGACGCUGAGGUUCGAAAGCAUGGGUAGCAAACAGGAUUAGAUACCCUGGUAGUCCAUGCCGUAAACGAUGAGUGCUAAGUGUUGGAGGGUUUCCGCCCUUCAGUGCUGCAGCUAACGCAUUAAGCACUCCGCCUGGGGAGUACGACCGCAAGGUUGAACUCAAAGGAAUUGACGGGGGCCCCGCACAA
rnacentral:rRNA from 1 species